AACGAGCGCUGGCGGCAGGCUUAACACAUGCAAGUCGAGCGCCCCGCAAGGGGAGCGGCAGACGGGUGAGUAACGCGUGGGAAUCUACCCAUCUCUACGGAAUAACGCAUGGAAACGUGUGCUAAUGCCGUAUACGUCCUUCGGGAGAAAGAUUUAUCGGAGAUGGAUGAGCCCGCGUUGGAUUAGCUAGUUGGUGGGGUAAAGGCCUACCAAAGCGACGAUCCAUAGCUGGUCUGAGAGGAUGAUCAGCCACACUGGGACUGAGACACGGCCCAGACUCCUACGGGAGGCAGCAGUGGGGAAUAUUGGACAAUGGGCGCAAGCCUGAUCCAGCCAUGCCGCGUGAGUGAUGAAGGCCCUAGGGUUGUAAAGCUCUUUCACCGGUGAAGAUAAUGACGGUAACCGGAGAAGAAGCCCCGGCUAACUUCGUGCCAGCAGCCGCCGUAAUAC
rnacentral:rRNA from 1 species